UACGGAGGGUGCAAACGUUGCUCGGAAUCAUUGGGCGUAAAGCGCACGUAGGCGGCCUGUUAAGUCGGGUGUGAAAGCCCUGGGCUCAACCCAGGAAGUGCACUCGAAACUGGCGGGCUUGAAUAUGGAAGAGGGUCGCGGAAUUCCCGGUGUAGAGGUGAAAUUCGUAGAUAUCGGGAGGAACACCAGUGGCGAAGGCGGCGACCUGGGACAAUAUUGACGCUGAGGUGCGAAAGCGUGGGGAGCAAACAGG
rnacentral:rRNA from 1 species